UGAACGCUAGCGGCAGGCUUAACACAUGCAAGUCGAGGGGUAACAGGGAUUGCUUGCAAUCCGCUGACGACCGGCGAACGGGUGCGUAACGCGUAUGCAACCUACCUUUUACAGGGGGAUAGCCCAAAGAAAUUUGGAAUAAUACCCCAUACGAUCUACAAUUGGCAUCAAUUGAAGAAGAAAACUCUGGUGGUAAAAGAUGGGCAUGCGUCCUAUUAGUUAGUUGGUAAGGUAAAGGCUUACCAAGACUUCGAUAGGUAGGGGUCCUGAGAGGGAGAUCCCCCACACUGGUACUGAGACACGGACCAGACUCCUACGGGAGGCAGCAGUGAGGAAUAUUGGACAAUGGAGGCAACUCUGAUCCAGCCAUGCCGCGUGCAGGAAGACUGCCCUAUGGGUUGUAAACUGCUUUUGUACAGGAAGAAUUGCAUCUACGUGUAGUUGCUUGACGGUACUGUAAGAAUAAGGAUCGG
rnacentral:rRNA from 1 species